rnacentral:rRNA from 1 species
GUCGAACGGUAACAGGGAGCUUGCUCCGCUGACGAGUGGCGAACGGGUGAGUAAUGUAUCGGAACGUACCAUUGAGUGGGGGAUAACGUAGCGAAAGUUACGCUAAUACCGCAUAUUCUCUCCGGAGGAAAGCAGGGGACCGCAAGGCCUUGCGCUCUUUGAGCGGCCGAUAUCAGAUUAGCUAGUUGGUGGGGUAAAAGCUCACCAAGGCGACGAUCUGUAGCGGGUCUGAGAGGAUGAUCCGCCACACUGGAACUGAGACACGGUCCAGACUCCUACGGGAGGCAGCAGUGGGGAAUUUUGGACAAUGGGGGCAACCCUGAUCCAGCCAUGCCGCGUGAGUGAAGAAGGCCUUCGGGUUGUAAAGCUCUUUCGGCCGGGAAGAAAUCGUAUCAGCUAAUACCUGGUGCGGAUGACGGUACCGGCAUAAGAAGCACCGGCUAACUACGUGCCAGCAGCCGCGGUAAUACGUAGGGUGCGAGCGUUAAUCGGAAUUACUGGGCGUAAAGCGCGCGCAGGCGGUUUUGUAAGACAGGCGUGAAAUCCCCGGGCUCAACCUGGGAACUGCGUUUGUGACUGCAAGGCUAGAGUACGGCAGAGGGGGGUGGAAUUCCACGUGUAGCAGUGAAAUGCGUAGAGAUGUGGAGGAACACCAAUGGCGAAGGCAGCCCCCUGGGUCGAUACUGACGCUCAUGCACGAAAGCGUGGGUAGCAAACAGGAUUAGAUACCCUGGUAGUCCACGCCCUAAACGAUGUCAACUAGGUGUUGGGAGGGUAAAACCUUUUAGUACCGGAGCUAACGCGUGAAGU